rnacentral:rRNA from 1 species
GUAGGUGGCAAGCGUUGUCCGGAAUUAUUGGGCGUAAAGCGCGCGCAGGCGGUUCUUUAAGUCUGAUGUGAAAGCCCACGGCUCAACCGUGGAGGGUCAUUGGAAACUGGAGAACUUGAGUACAGAAGAGGAAAGCGGAAUUCCACGUGUAGCGGUGAAAUGCGAAGAGAUGUGGAGGAACACCAGUGGCGAAGGCGGCUUUCUGGUCUGUAACUGACGCUGAGGCGCGAAAGCGUGGGGAGCAAACAGGAUUAGAUACCCUGGUAGUCCACGCCGUAAACGAUGAGUGCUAAGUGUUAGGGGGUUUCCGCCCCCCUUAGUGCUGCAGCUAACGCAUUAAGCACUCCGCCUGGGAGUACGGCCGCAAGGCUG